GAUGAACGCUGGCGGCGUGCCUAAUACAUGCAAGUAGAACGCUGAAGGAAGGAGCUUGCUCUUUCCGGAUGAGUUGCGAACGGGUGAGUAACGCGUAGGUAACCUGCCUGGUAGCGGGGGAUAACUAUUGGAAACGAUAGCUAAUACCGCAUAACAGUAGAUGUUGCAUGAUAUCUACUUAAAAGGUGCAAUUGCACCACUACCAGAUGGACCUGCGUUGUAUUAGCUAGUUGGUGAGGUAACGGCUCACCAAGGCGACGAUACAUAGCCGACCUGAGAGGGGGAUCGGCCACACUGGGACUGAGACACGGCCCAGACUCCUACGGGAGGCAGCAGUAGGGAAUCUUCGGCAAUGGACGGAAGUCUGACCGAGCAACGCCGCGGGAGUGAAGAAGGUUUUCGGAUCGUAAAGCUCUGUUGUAAGAGAAGAACGAGUGUGAGAGUGGAAAGUUCACACUGUGACGGUAUCUUACCAGAAAGGGACGGCUAACUACGUG
rnacentral:rRNA from 1 species